GGGUCUGUAGCUCAGUGGUAGAGUGCUCCCUUCGCAUCACAUUGUCUACUUACUAAGAGGCUGCAAGUGUGAAGAUGGGAGAAGUCGCCUGUUCGAACCAGGUCUGAUCCA